CCUACGGGGAGCAGCAGUGGGGAAUAUUGGACAAUGGGCGAAAGCCUGAUCCAGCCAUGCCGCGUGUGUGAAGAAGGCCUUCGGGUUGUAAAGCACUUUCAGUGGGGAAGAAAGCCUUGGGGCUAAUACCCUCGAGGAAGGACAUCACCCACAGAAGAAGCACCGGCUAACUCCGUGCCAGCAGCCGCGGUAAUACGGAGGGUGCGAGCGUUAAUCGGAAUUACUGGGCGUAAAGCGCGCGUAGGCGGUCUGAUAAGCCGGUUGUGAAAGCCCCGGGCUCAACCUGGGAACGGCAUCCGGAACUGUCAGGCUAGAGUGCAGGAGAGGAAGGUAGAAUUCCCGGUGUAGCGGUGAAAUGCGUAGAGAUCGGGAGGAAUACCAGUGGCGAAGGCGGCCUUCUGGACUGACACUGACGCUGAGGUGCGAAAGCGUGGGUAGCAAACAGGAUUAGAUACCCGGGUAGU
rnacentral:rRNA from 1 species